CUUCCCCAAAGAUCUGGCUGAAGCAUGAGAAGAGGCGGGAGGGGAUAAGUUCUUUCCUGAAGGCUCUGUUAAUUCCUCACAGAGAGACCCAGCCUCUUCCAGCAGCCAGUUCUCUGCAGGUGGGCAGAGAAUUAAGGUGGGCUUAAAAGAACAGCAGACAGCUGGGAGAAAUGCUUUGUUGUCAGCCAGCUUCCAGAUGCUUGCUCAGGAUGUGCUCAAUCCCUGCGGAGGCAGGAUAGGGUGAAGGGAGCAGUGCUCUGAAAGAAGACAGAAGGGCUCUUCUUUGGGCAGAACUUUUGGGAGAAGAGUCUCCUCUAAGGAAGGGUGUACAAAAGAAAAACAAAGCCCUUGUGAACAAGGAGGGCACAGGACAGAGACGAGAAGAAAUCCAGUCAAUUAAACUUUUCUGCAGAACUGCUUUGCAAGACUGAAAAGUAAAGAACAAUGCAUGCAUUUGCUAUGACGUAAUUUUGGUUUGGCAUCAGAUUAAAAAAAAAAUUCCUAAACGCAGAGUAAGAGGAUGGGAAGAACAGAAAUCUAUGUUUAAGUAAACAGUUUUGGUUAAACUCAUAUAGGAAGAGUUUUAAGUUCUUGAAAAGACUUCGAUAAUUUGUGUGUGUUAUUUGUGGAAAUUAGUCAAACUUCAAGAUAAAGUGGAAAAAAUACACGUAUGAAUAGUUGACUCAGUUCUGUGCUGCCGUGAAGACAAAGAAAAUCCCAGCUUACAUUGGUUGAAAAGUUGCUGUUAUGUUUGAUAUGGAUCAGAUUUUCUUCUAACGGUUCUUGCAAUUAAAUCAGCAUCAUAAAAUAAAAAAAGUUUGCUCUCUAA